rnacentral:tRNA from 1 species
CGGGGCGUGGCGCAGCCCGGUUAGCGCGUCUGUCUGGGGGACAGAAGGUCGUGGGUUCAAAUCCCGCCGCCCCGACCA